CAAAGCCACUGCAAGACGGAUACUGUCAUCUAUUCCGGAAGAUGACAAUGUCCAUUUUGCAGUGGCUUUG
ensembl:miRNA